rnacentral:rRNA from 1 species
GGAGUUAGGAAAUGUAGGAAUGUUAAUAGCAUUUCUAUUUGACUAAGGCUCCAGGGGAAGCCACGGCUAACUCUGUGCCAGCAGUCGCGGUAAUACAGAGGUGGCAAGCGUUGUUCGGAAUUAUCGGGCGUAAAGAGCACGUAGGCGGCCCUGCCAGUCAGUUGCGAAAGCCUUCCGCUCAACGGAAGAACGGCAGCUGAUACUACAGGGCUAGAGUACGGGAGGGGAGAGUG